rnacentral:rRNA from 1 species
UACGGGGGGUGCGAGCGUUGUCCGGAAUCACUGGGCGUAAAGGGCGCGUAGGUGGCGUGAUAAGGGUGUGGUGAAAGCCCGGGGCUCAACCCCGGGUCUGCCAUGCCGACUGUCAGGCUCGAGUGCUGUAGGGGCAGGCGGAAUUCCGGGUGUAGCGGUGGAAUGCGUAGAGAUCCGGAGGAACACCGGUGGCGAAGGCGGCAUCCUGGACCAACACUGACGCUGAGGCGCGAAAGCGUGGGGAGCGAACAGG